GCGUGCUUAACACAUGCAGUCGUACGAGAAAGCGGGAGCUUGCUUCCGCGAGUAAAGUGGCGCACGGGUGAGUAACGCGUGGAUAAUCUGCCCCCGAAUUGGGAAUAACAUGGCGAAAGUCGUGCUAAUACCGAAUAACAUCAUGAGGACUUCGGUUUUUGUGAUCAAAGACAGCCUCUGCAUAUGCUGUUGUUUGGGGAUGAGUCCGCGUGUCAUUAGCUAGUUGGUAGGGUAAAGGCCUACCAAGGCUACGAUGACUAGCUGGUCUGAGAGGAUGAUCAGCCACACUGGAACUGAGACACGGUCCAGACUCCUACGGGAGGCAGCUUUGAGGAAUUUUGCGCAAUGGGGGCAACCCUGACGCAGCAACGCCGCGUGAGUGAAGAAGGCUUUAGGGUCGUAAAACUCUGUCAAAUGGGAAGAAUGGGGUGUCAUACAUUAUGUGGCACCAGUGACGGUACCAUUAGAGGAAGCACCGGCUAACUCCGUGCCAGCAGCCGCGGUAAUACGGGGGGUGCAAGCGUUAUUCGGGAAUCAUUGGGCGUAAAGAGCGCGUAGGCGGAUGUAUAAGUCAGCCGUGAAAAGCCCGGGGCUCAACCCCGGAAGUGCGGAUGAUACUGUAUAUCUUGAAUAUGGGAGAGGAAAGUGGAAUUCCUGGUGUAGCGUGAAUGCGUCGAUAUCAGGAGGAUACCGGUGGCGAGGC
rnacentral:rRNA from 1 species